AUUGAACGCUGGCGGCAUGCCUUACACAUCCAAGUCGAACGGCAGCACGGGGGCAACCCUGGUGGCGAGUGGCGAACGGGUGAGUAAUACAUCGGAACGUGCCCAGUCGUGGGGGAUAACGUAGCGAAAGUUACGCUAAUACCGCAUACGAUCUCUGGAUGAAAGCGGGGGACCGCAAGGCCUCGCGCGAUUGGAGCGGCCGAGGGCAGAUUAGGUAGUUGGUGGGGUAAAAGCUUACCAAGCCUCCGAUCUGUAGCUGGUCUGAGAGGACGAUCAGCCACACUGGGACUGAGACACGGCCCAGACUCCUACGGGAGGCAGCAGUGGGGAAUUUUGGACAAUGGGCGAAAGCCUGAUCCAGCAAUGCCGCGUGCAGGACGAAGGCCUUCGGGUUGUAAACUGCUUUUGUACGGAGCGAAACGGCUUCCACUAAUACUGGGGGCUAAUGACGGUACCGUAAGAAUAAGCACCGGCUAACUACGUGCCAGCAGCCGCCGUAA
rnacentral:rRNA from 1 species